rnacentral:rRNA from 1 species
CCUACGGGAGGCAGCAGUGAGGAAUAUUGGUCAAUGGACGAGAGUCUGAACCAGCCAAGUAGCGUGAAGGAUGACUGCCCUAUGGGUUGUAAACUUCUUUUAUAAAGGAAUAAAACGAGGCACGUGUGCCUUUUUGCAUGUACUUUAUGAAUAAGGAUCGGCUAACUCCGUGCCAGCAGCCGCGGUAAUACGGAGGAACAGAGCGUUAUCCGGAUUUAUUGGGUUUAAAGGGAGCGUAGAUGGGUUGUUAAGUCAGUUGUUAAAGUUUGCGGCUCAACCGUAAAAUUGCAAUUGAUACUGGCAGUCUUGAGUACAGUUGAGGUAGGCGGAAUUCGUGGUGUAGCGGUGAAAUGCUUAGAUAUCACGAAGAACCCCGAUUGCGAAGGCAGCUUACUAAACUGUGACUGACAUUGAUGCUCGAAAGUGUGGGUAUCAAACAGGAUUAGAUACCCCGGUAGUC